rnacentral:rRNA from 1 species
CGAACGGGUGAGUAAUACAUCGGAACGUGCCCAGUAGUGGGGGAUAGCCCGGCGAAAGCCGGAUUAAUACCGCAUACGACCUACGGGUGAAAGCGGGGGAUCGCAAGACCUCGCGCUAUUGGAGCGGCCGAUGUCGGAUUAGCUUGUUGGUGAGGUAAAAGCUCACCAAGGCGACGAUCCGUAGCUGGUCUGAGAGGACGACCAGCCACACUGGGACUGAGACACGGCCCAG